AGGCCCAGGGAACCAAGCAGCGCUGCCGCCGCCGCUGCACCCGGAGCUGGAGGAGGGAGAAGCCAGGAAGAAAAUGGCGGCUGUGGCUGCAGAGGCGGCAGCGACUGCAGCGUCCCCCGGGGAGGGGGGCGCCGGCGAGGCCGAGCCGGAGAUGGAGCCCAUCCCCGGCAGCGAGGCCGGCACUGACCCCCUCCCGGUCACGGCGACGGAAGCAUCUGUGCCGGACGGCGAGGCCGACGGGCAGCAGUCUUCUCCUCAGGCCGACGAGCCGCCGCUCCCGCCGCCACCGCCGCCGCCGGGCGAGCUCGCCCGCAGCCCGGAGGCGGCGGGGCCGGAGCUGGAGGCUGAGGAGAAACUGCCCGCCCGGGUAGCGGAACCGGCGGCAGCCGCGCCUCAGGAAAGACCCGACCUUCCACCUUCCCCUGCACCACCGCCCGAGCAGCCCCCAGCUCCCGAGGAGCGCCAGGAACCGCCGCUGCCCCAGCCCGCAGCCCCGGCGCUCGUGCCGCCGGCGGGCGGGGACUCCGCGGUGUCGCAGCUGAUUCCCGGCUCGGAGGUGCGGGUCACGCUGGACCACAUCAUCGAGGACGCGCUCGUCGUGUCGUUCCGUCUAGGGGAGAAGCUCUUCUCCGGGGUCCUUAUGGAUCUGUCCAAAAGGUUUGGGCCCCAUGGGAUCCCUGUGACAGUGUUUCCCAAAAGGGAAUAUAAGGAGAAACCUGAAGCCAUGCAGCUCCAAAGUAAUACAUUCCAAGAAGGGACAGAAGUCAAGCGUGAAGUGAAUGGUGCUGUUCCCGAUGACCCUUCUCCCAUCUCUCCUCCCGAGCGGGGCUUGGCUGAAAGCCUGUGGACUUCCAAACCACCGCCUCUCUUCCAUGAAGGAGCACCUUACCCUCCCCCUUUGUUUAUCAGGGACACCUAUAACCAGUCAAUACCUCAGCCACCGCCUCGGAAAAUUAAGCGACCCAAACGAAAAAUGUACAGGGAAGAACCUACUUCAAUAAUGAAUGCUAUUAAACUGCGACCCAGGCAAGUCCUGUGUGACAAAUGUAAAAACAGUGUUGUUGCGGAGAAAAAGGAAAUUAGAAAAGGUAGUAGUGCAAGUGACUCUUCUAAAUAUGAAGACAAAAAACGGAAAAACGAAAGUGUAACUACUGUGAACAAAAAACUGAAAACUGACCAUAAAGUGGAUGGGAAAAACCAAAACGAAAGCCAGAAAAGAAAUGCUGUGGUGAAGGUUUCCAAUAUUGCUCACAGCAGAGGCAGAGUAGUCAAAGUUUCUGCUCAGGCAAACACAUCAAAAGCUCAGUUAAGUACUAAAAAAGUGCUCCAGAGUAAGAACAUGGAUCAUGCAAAAGCUCGGGAAGUGUUGAAAAUUGCCAAAGAAAAGGCACAAAAGAAGCAAAGUGAAACCUCUACAUCCAAAAAUGCACAUUCAAAGGUCCAUUUCACACGUCGCUAUCAGAGUCCUAGCUCAGGUUCCCUUCCACCCCGGGUUCGUUUAAAACCACAAAGGUACAGGAAUGAAGAAAAUGACUCUUCUUUGAAGACAGGACUUGAGAAAAUGCGGAGUGGCAAGAUGGCACCCAAGCCCCAGUCUCGCUGCACCUCUACCCGCUCAGCAGGAGGGAAAUACACAUUCUACGGCCUUGAUCUUUGUGCAUCGUGGCUGUAUUUUCCAGAAGGUCUCAACAAAUGGCAGCUAUUACAUCAGACAGUGACGAGUCCUGCUGCUCCCUUACAGUGUCUGACAGACCACUGUGGAUUCAGACUGGGAGCAUUGAAGUUAACAGUGAGACGGGCAGGUCUGUCUGUGCUAAGCCCUGCCGCAGAGUGAAGAGGGCGUCAUGUCAUCACUUAAUCAUUCUGAAGUAGAUCAGGCUAGACCUCAAAGAAUUCAUUCGUUCUUUUUCUGUAGUUUUCAGUGACCUUGGUAGCUGGGUGUACCUCAUGUAGGUGACAGUUUUAACGAGUGACAAUAACUGAGUCGUGCUAAGAAAAGUAGAGCUAGCCGCCUGUGAGCUUCUCUGAAAGGAGUUUCUCCUAGGGUGCUAAAAGUUGGCUAUCAGGUUGUAGAGUUAUGUCACAUAGCAACCGAGUCACCGUGGGAAGUCAAAUAGUGGAUUUCUUGUCUUUUCCCUAUCAGUCUUUGUCACUUUUAUAUCCACUUCUUAGUCAUUCUUAAUGUGUAUCUAUAAGAUUAUGUAUAUCCGUAUGAACAUAUAUAUAUAUAUAUUUUUUUUUUUUCUUAGUGAAUUAACCUCAAAACCAUUGUCAUUUACAUCAGGAAAGCCUAAACUCAGAGGGGCCAUAAUCUUUACAUUUAUUGAGACCUCUUUGGAUAGCGCCUUAAAGGCUUCGUUUGGGCUCUUACACAGCUGAAAAGGUUUAAGGUUUCUGUUGUGCUGCCGUUUAACCUCUCUCUCUUUGCUUCCUUGAAUUAAGGCUAUUUAACCCUGUGGUGGUUGCGAGCUGGGUCAGAAUGGCACAGUUGGGAUCGGAGAUUGAGGCUGGGAGGUUCUGGACUCGGAGCUGUACUGUAGGGAUGGCAGCGACGCUGAUGGUGAUUUCUUGAGGGAACGCACAAAGACAUUAGCAGGCUGCUGGUUUCAUGGACCCGUCCCACAAUGACCCCACACCAGAGCAUCAGGACUGAAUGACAUUGGAGACUCAGAUUUUUAAAGCUGCACUAAGAAGUAAAUGUUAAGGCAGUGGUUAAAACCGAAGUCUAUAAAGGGGCACUUGCAAAUUGUGCCGUAUUAAACCGAAGAAAAGGUAUUAGGGGAAUAUUUUAUAAAAAAUGAACUAUUGCAAUAAAUUAUGCAUGAGAGGAGGAGAAAAGUGAUAUGAAACACGCAAAGAACUCACUUGAAUUUUAUAUAUAUGAAGAAUCACUGACCGUAACUUUUUCUGAAUGUGAAGUUCUUUCAGUACAGUUUGGACAGGCCUAAAAGGCAUGGGAUGAUGACACAGACGCUGAAUUAAUUAUUUUUUAAACUAAAACUGUGCUUUCUCCAAGGUUUUGUUAAUCAGUUCAGAUAUGAGCAAAGGCAUUUCUAAGAUGGCUCUCCUGUAACAGCAAGAGUCACGGCUGCCUGGGCAAGGCCAAGGUCUCCUUCAGGGUACCAGUGGAAACAACAGGAAAGAUGCUCUAACAUCCUACUGAAAGGAUGGCAAAGUGCCCCACCCCACCCCGCAAAGAGAAUUUGGAUCUUUUCUUUCUUCAGUAAAACAGGGCUGUAUUAUCUUGAAUAUACGUUUGCUUGUUAGAACAUAUUAAGAUGUAUUUAUUUGCCACCAGUAUUUAACAUUUUGUGCACAUUUUCAUAACUGCAUUCUUACCUUUUAAAUUCUGACUCAAAGUGGAUAGGCUAGUGUUGACCUUAGAGUGAAAAUUUUUACUCCAAGAGCUAUUUCUUAAUUCUACUGAGGUGGAAAGGCUUUUUCCCUGAAUUUUGAUGUGGACCUCUCUCAUGGAGAGCCCCUUCUAAGUGCAAGAUAUUCUCCCAGGUGUCAGGUGGGACUUGACCCUGGGAACAAGCAGUAGGAACAGACCCAUAAAGAGCUUUCAUGCAUGGAACAUGAAUUCUUAUUAAUGGAGACCAUAAUGUUUUUCUUGUCUUUGGAAAUACAUAUUAUGAAAAACCUUAAUUUUUCUUUUUAAUGAAUGGAGAAAACUUUCAUGAGAAAACCAGAUGGACCUAUUAGUACUACAUUUUUAAGGCGUUUUAUAUUUGAUGGUGCAGUACUUUUAAUAAUAAAACAAGUUUUUUAGUGGCAAUACUGAUUUAUUUUUUAAACCAGAAAGAUAAUCCAUAUUGAUUACUUAAUACAAAAAAAGGGGGGAAAACGCCAAAAAAUAAAAUACAAAAUUCAUUUGAAGCAACGUAACAGAUAAGUGAGCAUUUGGCUCAAGUGUUUAAACUUUCCAUAAUCUUACUGUACAGGUUUGGGAUUUCUUAAUAACCCCACACUCAGGAUUAAGAAAAGGUUCUGAGAGCUGGAGAACAGUUGAUACAUCUGACUAGCACUUGUUUUAAAGGAAGACAGUCUUCGAUGAGCUUAAUACAAAUUCUAAUUGCACUGCAAGUAAUUAAAAGCUUGGAGCACAUUCUAAAGUCCUUUGGGAAAUCUUCACGAAGUCAUUAUGCACAUUUGAUCCAAUCUGAAAAAGUCAGCUCAGAACCUGGAGCAGCAGGGAGCUCUAAAGAUUAUGUGUACCUCCACGGCCCCCUCCUCUUCCCGGCCCCAGGGCUUCGGGUGGGGUCCAUCUAGUUCUUUCUGAGAUUGAACACCAGCAGUACCUUUCAGGCUCACUUCAAGAACCAGACAACUCCACGCCAUGGCGGACUGUACAAUACUUUGCGCAGAGUGAUGGAAGUGACCAAGAAAUAACACAAAGGCAAAAUCUGAUCUCUCCCAAUUCUUUUAAGUAUCUAAUAUUUUUUCUCAUGACAAAAUUCUCAAAGGUGUUUUGUUAUAAACCACAUUUUCAUUUCUUAAUAAAUGAAAUUUGGUGGUACUUAAAAUCUAGACAUACCAUGUUGCUAUUUCACUUUUCAUUGCUUUAGUUGCUUAAUAUUUAAGCUCUGCUUCAUGCUACCUUUGUAUUUCACAUCUUCACAAGCCUCUUUCAUUCUGUAGACUUGAAUGACAAAAGUUGUUUCUCAUCUAAAGUACGCGAAGACUUAAAUGUUAAAGAAUGUUGUGUAACAUUUAUCCAAUAAAGUCUUGAUUUUUUAAAAUUUA